CGGCAUUGGGCAAGGUUUCCUGCGCCUGGCGCUUGAUCAGCGCCAGGCGUUUGGGGUCGAGCGCCGGGUCGAAACCGACAAUGUCGACCA
rnacentral:tRNA from 1 species